CCCACUCCAAAUCAACCAACAUCAAGAACAGAAAAUUCGGAGCCCUAGCUCUCAUUCUUCACCCCAUCUGCACUGGUUCACACCAGAUUGGAACCCUAGCUCUCCUUCUUCCCUACCAGACUAUUCGGGCCAAUCACUUCACACUAACAACAUCGUUCGUCUAUCCAACAACGGAGGCGAUUACAUACGGUGGCCCCCGCAGUGGAUACGGUUCCGACAUAACCCUCAAGAUCUACGUCUACGAUGAAACAGAAAUUGGCAGCGUUAAAGAGCUGUUGCACGGACAUGACUAAACAUGACUCAAGGGCCGAUUGGGCAGUCAGAUAUUAAGUCAAAACUAGGUUGGAUUGACGAGCAUGAGAUAUAAUUUGCCACAACUAGCUUAGCUUUGGGAAAGGAAGUGUCCAGUAACAAGAAAGAGCAUAGAAAACUGCCAUUCAAGCGCUUAUCAAUGCCUCAGCCACCCAAACUCUUCUUUGGUCUAUCAAAUGAGUGAACGGUUGGUGGUAGAGAACCGGAAAAAGUAUUAAAAUGUUAAGGCUCCUUCAAGAUUUUCUGAAUUUAAAAUAGAGUCUUAUCUUUAAACAAUUGUUUUCCAUAGGGAGAUUAACGAAGUGCAGAAGGGGAGUUGGUGGUGUUCUGAUUUCACUCACGGAUAGCAUCCGAAGCAAACAAAGUAUUUAUUGUCGUUGAGUAACUGAUUAAGGUUUGGUUGAGGUGAUUAUGCAUUAGCUCCUACAACAGGCACCAUUAUGUAAGCCAUUGGAGCAUAUCGGUUUGCUGCUGUUGCAAGUGCUGCUAGUAGAGUGAUGUAGGUUCUGUUGCACUUGUUGCAUCAUUUGGAGAUAUCUUUUGAUAGAAGCUUAUGUAUUUGGCAUUUAAAUUUUAAAUUUAUGUAUGGAUUUUGGUUUAUUAUUGUUAAUAUUAUUUGGUUUUUAAGUUUUCUU
rnacentral:lncRNA from 1 species